rnacentral:lncRNA from 1 species
UGGACGUUCAACGGCGUUUUUGUAUGUUUUGCUGUGAAAAAUCUUUUUGAAUUUCUUCUUAAGAGAUAAAGUUGGUUAAAGAUGCUUGUGUCCCCGGUUGCCCUGGUGCUUCUACCCUUUUCUUCCUGGCACAAUUUCUGAGCUUUCCAUUUCUUUAAAUUUACCAGUUCAAAUCAGGAGUUGUCUAAUUUUGGAGACUGGCAUCUUCCUACCUAGACAGAUGCCUUUACACUGUGCUGGGACAAUGGCGUGGAGCGCCACACCUGAAACCAUGAGAAGGCAGAAGCUUCCGAGUUAGAAGUAGCAGCAAACCUGUGGCUUUGCACCCUGGAGGCACAGCUCUGUUCAAUGUCUCUCCUUACUGCUUCAUCCUGGGGCUCGCCAUGGGAAAGGAUGCCUCUCUCCCCUAGGCAAUCCCUGGUCUGUCCUUUUACUAAUGCCCAGUGGGUGACAGGCUCUUUCCCAGAAGUUGAACAGAGCUACGCUGGCCGAUCCCUCUCUCCGAAGUCAAGUGACCUCUCUGGUAAUGGACUGCCUUUCUGUGAGGUAUGUGUUGUGAAUUUCCGGACAGAUCUUUGAUUUUAAGUUGUGAUGAUCUCAGCUUUGAGGGGAGGGAGAUUUUAAUUUUAACUUUUUUUUUUUCUCCCGGAUAAAAUGUCAAAUAUCCUUUCACCAAUCUAGCCACUGUAAUUUUAGGGUACAAUUGGAUAAUGGUUAAUAAAUAAUCAUUACCUAUUAAUUAAUCA